rnacentral:sRNA from 1 species
ACCAGGCACAGUGGCUUGUGCCUGUAAUCCCAGCUACUCAGGAGGCCGAGUUAGGAGGCAACUUAGCUUGACCCUACCUCAA